UGUAGGAGUGAGCCUGCUCGCGAUAGUUGUGUGUCAGUCGACAUCUCCUUGACUGAUGCGACGCCAUCGCGAGCAGGCUCACUCCUACA
rnacentral:antisense_RNA from 1 species